rnacentral:tmRNA from 1 species
GGGGUUGAAUCAUAUUCGACAUUGGACCUUCACAAUCUAGUAUGGCAAGCCGGAUCUACCUACACGUUAGCUGGGUAAACCAGUAAAUGCAAAAUCAUUUACAGCAGCUCUCAGAGGCGAGACUUCUCGUCGCUUAGCGCUACAAGUAGCCUAAUUUUAGACUACGAUCUUCGUGACUGAUAUCAGAUAAGUCACAAGGUCUUAUAUUCAUCUGAUUGCUAUACUGUCUGCCACCUUAGGACAGUAGAUAAGCUUUUAAGGUUGCCGCUCGGGUGUAUUUUGUCUAUUUAGACCACCUAAGCUUAAGACAGCUAAAUAGAAUAAGCUUGUAGUCAUCUAGAGACUGAACCGAUGGACCGGAGUGCAAUCCUCCGCAACUCCACCA